UUUGCUUUAUUGUUGCAAAUUCGAUUCCAUUUUCAAAAUUGUAAGAUCCAGCGAGUACACAGACAGAUGUACUCAACGCUGUGUCACUUUUAUAGCUGUUGGCUGACCUUACACGAUCAGCAUUUUAUCAAUCUGCCAUACAUAAAACCUUAAAAACACGCCGAAAAAAACAGUCCAGCUAAUCUGACAGAUUUAAAAAUUAAAAUUGUCAUCGGUUUAUCCGUCAUUGCCAUAAAAAUACACUAGACGUUUAGUUUGCCAUAAUUUUGUCAUUCAAAUUGACGCCAGACUGAUAAAAUACUGAUCGUCUAAGGUCAGCCGGUAAGCCCUGGUAAUUUAGAGCGCCGUUCUAAUGUACUUUAAACGUACAACUCUUGUCAAGUGGCUGCCACUGGUGAUUGAGAGCACUAGAUAAUGGAUGUUUUGCGUGACAGUGUUUAUUAUAAGAACGGAAAGGAAUGGCGAAAGAUCACGUCUUUCGUGAAUAUCCAUGGAAAUGCGCAUAGCUGUCGAUAAUAAUAUUCACCAUCGAAUACAGAGGAGAUUAGAAUUUACUUGAAAAUAAAUAUAAGUUCCUAAGCUCUUGGUGUGUGUUUAGUUGUCCAUUAUUGUUAAAAUAAAUUAAUAGAAAUGUGA